GACGAACGCUGGCGGCGUGCCUAAUACAUGCAAGUUGAGCGCUGAAGGUUGGUACUUGUACCAACUGGAUGAGCAGCGAACGGGUGAGUAAAGCGUGGGGAAUCUGCCUUUGAGCGGGGGACAACAUUUGGAAACGAAUGCUAAUACCGCAUAAAAACUUUAAACACAAGUUUUAAGUUUGAAAGAUGCAGUUGCAUCACUCAAAGAUGAUCCCGCGUUGUAUUAGCUAGUUGGUGAGGUAAAGGCUCACCAAGGCGAUGAUACAUAGCCGACCUGAGAGGGUGAUCGGCCACAUUGGGACUGAGACACGGCCCAAACUCCUACGGGAGGCAGCAGUAGGGAAUCUUCGGCAAUGGACGAAAGUCUGACCGAGCAACGCCGCGUGAGUGAAGAAGGUUUUCGGAUCGUAAAACUCUGUUGGUAGAGAAGAACGUUGGUGAGAGUGGAAAGCUCAUCAAGUGACGGUAACUACCCAGAAAGGGACGGCUAACUACGUG
rnacentral:rRNA from 1 species